rnacentral:rRNA from 1 species
UGGGGAAUUUUGGACAAUGGGCGAAAGCCUGAUCCAGCAAUGCCGCGUGCAGGAAGAAGGCCUUCGGGUUGUAAACUGCUUUUGUACGGAACGAAAAGGCUCUUUCUAAUAAAGAGGGCCCAUGACGGUACCGUAAGAAUAAGCACCGGCUAACUACGUGCCAGCAGCCGCGGUAAUACGUAGGGUGCGAGCGUUAAUCGGAAUUACUGGGCGUAAAGCGUGCGCAGGCGGUUAUAUAAGACAGAUGUGAAAUCCCCGGGCUCAACCUGGGAACUGCAUUUGUGACUGUAUAGCUAGAGUACGGCAGAGGGGGAUGGAAUUCCGCGUGUAGCAGUGAAAUGCGUAGAUAUGCGGAGGAACACCGAUGGCGAAGGCAAUCCCCUGGGCCUGUACUGACGCUCAUGCACGAAAGCGUGGGGAGCAAACAGGAUUAGAUACCCCUGUAGUCCCUGAGCGGGCUGGCAAGGCGCAU